AAUAGAUACCCAGGUAGUCCACGCCGUAAACGUUGGGCGCUAGAUGUGGGGACCAUUCCACGGUUUCCGCGUCGUAGCUAACGCAUUAAGCGCCCCGCCUGGGGAGUACGGCCGCAAGGCUAAAACUCAAAGGAAUUGACGGGGGCCCGCACAAGCGGCGGAGCAUGCGGAUUAAUUCGAUGCAACGCGAAGAACCUUACCAAGGCUUGACAUAUGCGAGAACGCUCUAGAAAUAGAGAACUCUUUGGACACUCGUAUACAGGUGGUGCAUGGUUGUCGUCAGCUCGUGUCGUGAGAUGUUGGGUUAAGUCCCGCAACGAGCGCAACCCUCGUCGCAUGUUGCCAGCACGUAAUGGUGGGAACUCAUGUGAGACUGCCGGGGUCAACUCGGAGGAAGGUGGGGAUGACGUCAAAUCAUCAUGCCCCUUAUGUCUUGGGCUUCACGCAUGCUACAAUGGCCGGUACAAAGGGCUGCGAAACCGCAAGGUGGAGCGAAUCCUAAAAAGCCGGUCUCAGUUCGGA
rnacentral:rRNA from 1 species